UGCANAUUUCCNUUAGCGGAGGAAAAGAAACCAACAGGGAUUGCCUCAGUAACGGCGAGUGAAGCGGCAAAAGCUCAAAUUUGAAAUCUAGCACCUUCGGUGUUUGAGUUGUAAUUUGAAGAUGGUAACCUUGGGUUUGGCUCUUGUCUAUGUUCCUUGGAACAGGACGUCAUAGAGGGUGAGAAUCCCGUCUGAUGAGAUGCCCAUUCCUAUGUAAGGUGCUAUCGAAGAGUCGAGUUGUUUGGGAAUGCAGCUCUAAGUGGGUGGUAAAUUCCAUCUAAAGCUAAAUAUUGGCGAGAGACCGAUAGCGAACAAGUACAGUGAUGGAAAGAUGAAAAGAACUUUGAAAAGAGAGUGAAAAAGUACGUGAAAUUGUUGAAAGGGAAGGGCAUUAGAUCAGACUUGGUGUUUUACGAUUAUCUUCUCUUCUUGAGUUGUGCACUCGUAUUUCACUGGGCCAGCAUCGAUUCGGAUGGCAAGAUAAUGGCAGUUGAAUGUGGCUUCACUUCGGUGGAGUGUUAUAGCUUCUGCUGAUAUUGCCUGUCUGGAUCGAGGGCUGCGUCUUUGACUAGGAUGCGCAA
rnacentral:rRNA from 1 species